rnacentral:rRNA from 1 species
AUUGAACGCUGGCGGCAGGCCUAACACAUGAAAGUCGGGCGAGGGGCGGAAGGGUGAGUAAUGUAUGGGGAUCUGCCUGAUGGAGGGGGAUAACUAAUGGAAACGGUAUGUCAAACCGCAUACCAUCAAAUGAACCCAUAUGGGAUUAGCUUGUAGGGAAGGUAACGGCUUACCUAGGCUACGAUCCCUAGCUGGUCUGAGAGGAUGAUCAUCCACACUGGGACUGAGACACGGCCCAGACUCCUACGGGAGGCAGCAUGGGGGAAUAUUGCACAAUGGGCGCAAGCCUGAUGCAGCCAUGCCGCGUGUAUGAAGAAGGCCUUCGGGUUGUAAAGUACUUUCAGUCGGGAGGCGUUACCGACAGAAGAAGCACCGGCUAACUCCGUGCCAGCAGCCGCGGUAAUAC